rnacentral:rRNA from 1 species
UACGUAGGGGGCAAGCGUUGUCCGGAAUCAUUGGGCGUAAAGCGCGUGUAGGCGGUUUGUCGCGUCUGCUGUGAAAUUUCGGGGCUCAACCCCGAACUUGCAGUGGGUACGGGCAGACUAGAGUGUGGUAGGGGAGACUGGAAUUCCUGGUGUAGCGGUGAAAUGCGCAGAUAUCAGGAGGAACACCGAUGGCGAAGGCAGGUCUCUGGGCCACUACUGACGCUGAGAAGCGAAAGCAUGGGGAGCGAACAGG